rnacentral:tRNA from 1 species
CGCGGGGUGGAGCAGUCUGGUAGCUCGUCGGGCUCAUAACCCGAAGGUCGUAGGUUAAAAUCCUGCCCCCGCAA